rnacentral:rRNA from 1 species
AUGAACGCUAGCGACAGGCUUAACACAUGCAAGUCGAGGGGCAGCACAGGUAGCAAUACCGGGUGGCGACCGGCGCACGGGUGAGUAACGCGUAUGCAACUUACCUAUCAGAGGGGGAUAACCCGGCGAAAGUCGGACUAAUACCGCAUGAAGCAGGGGCCCCGCAUGGGGAUAUUUGCUAAAGAUUCAUCGCUGAUAGAUAGGCAUGCGUUCCAUUAGGCAGUUGGCGGGGUAACGGCCCACCAAACCGACGAUGGAUAGGGGUUCUGAGAGGAAGGUCCCCCACAUUGGUACUGAGACACGGACCAAACUCCUACGGGAGGCAGCAGUGAGGAAUAUUGGUCAAUGGGCGUAAGCCUGAACCAGCCAAGUCGCGUGAGGGAUGAAGGUUCUAUGGAUCGUAAACCUCUUUUAUAAGGGAAUAAAGUGCGGGACGUGUCCCGUUUUGUAUGUACCUUAUGAAUAAGGAUCGGCUAACUCCGUGCCAGCAGCCGCGGUAAUACGGAGGAUCCGAGCGUUAUCCGGAUUUAUUGGGUUUAAAGGGUGCGUAGGCGGCCUUUUAAGUCAGCGGUGAAAGUCUGUGGCUCAACCAUAGAAUUGCCGUUGAAACUGGGAGGCUUGAGUAUGUUUGAGGCAGGCGGAAUGCGUGGUGUAGCGGUGAAAUGCUUAGAUAUCACGCAGAACCCCGAUUGCGAAGGCAGCCUGCCAAGCCAUGACUGACGCUGAUGCACGAAAGCGUGGGGAUCAAACAGGAUUAGAUACCCUGGUAGUCCACGCAGUAAACGAUGAUCACUAGCUGUUUGCGAUACAGUGUAAGCGGCACAGCGAAAGCGUUAAGUGAUCCACCUGGGGAGUACGCCGGCAACGGUGAAACUCAAAGGAAUUGACGGGGGCCCGCACAAGCGGAGGAACAUGUGGUUUAAUUCGAUGAUACGCGAGGAACCUUACCCGGGUUUGAACGCAUUCGGACCGAGGUGGAAACACCUUUUCUAGCAAUAGCCGUUUGCGAGGUGCUGCAUGGUUGUCGUCAGCUCGUGCCGUGAGGUGUCGGCUUAAGUGCCAUAACGAGCGCAACCCUUGCCACUAGUUACUAACAGGUAAAGCUGAGGACUCUGGUGGGACUGCCAGCGUAAGCUGCGAGGAAGGCGGGGAUGACGUCAAAUCAUCAUGCCCUUUAUGUCUUGGGCUACACACGUACUACAAUGGACAUUAACAGAGGGAAGCAAUACAGCGAUGUGGAGCAAACCCCUAAAAAUGUUCUCAGUUCAGAUUGCAGGCUGCAACCCGCCUGUAUGAAGAUGGAUUCGCUAGUAAUCGCGCAUCAGCCAUGGCGCGGUGAAUACGUUCCCGGGCCUUGUACACACCGCCCGUCAAGCCAUGGGAGCCGGGGGUACCUGAAGUGCGUAACCGCAAGGAGCGCCCUAGGGUAAAACUGGUGACUGGGGCU